rnacentral:misc_RNA from 1 species
GUUGAGGCGGGUGUAAGUAGCAGAGGUCCUCGUGGUCGUCCCCAGCUGCUGGACUAUUAUUACUCCUGCUCCUUCACCCUGGUGGGACCUCACCCUCGUUGUGACAACCCUUGGAGGACCACACCCUCGUUGUGACAACCCUUGGAGGACCUCCCCCUCGUUGUGACAAUCCUUAGAGGACCACACCCUCAGAAAUCAUCACCUUCGGUGUGACCACCUUGGUGGUACCUCACUCCUAGAGCACCUGGCCUCCGCGUUGGACCUCUCACCCUUGUAGGAUCUCGCCCCCUAUUAGGACCUCGCACCUUUAUAGGACUUUGUCCCACCUCGUUAUACCUCGUUCCCUCAUAAAAACUCACCCUCUUGGAAGACUUCCCUCCUCGUAAGACCUUGUCCCAUCGCUCACCUUCAUCAUGGGAGACUCGGGCUCUGCACAGCUUACCAAGCUAAUUCUCAACAAUUUUAUGGUACAGAAGAAACCUCUGGCACGACAAGGAAAGGACCACGUGAUCAAGAGGCUAGUACGGCAGAUUAGGAAAUUACGCGAAAAAAAGCCUGAUGAAGAGACCAAGAAGACAAAAUUUAACCGCAAAGCUGAGAGGCUCGUGGAAGAAAUUAUGGCUCUGAAGCACAUGGCUCCGAGUGAAAUAAUGAAAUUUGUCAUUCUGAAUAAGAAGUCGUUUUCAGCAGUCAUUAGAAAUCCAAAGGCAAGGAUAGAGGAGAGAGCACUGUGUCGUCUGGCAGAACACAAAAGCCUGAGUGUUGCAGUAAAGGAAUUUCGAGAGCAGUAUCCACGCUGGGCAGAAGAGGUUCCACUUUUGAUCAAGGGUCUUGGAAUUCGUCAUCGAGAGAAGAAGCUGAAGAGAUUAAAGAGGUUGGGCAAGUUGGAUAAGUACCUGGAAAAAGAGCAGCAGAGCCUCAAGCUCCUACAGGAACUGACUGAUGUUGAUAUAGAUCCUAAGAUCAUUCAGGGAGCAAUGAAUUUGACCAAGAAAAUUGAAAAGAAGCCAGCCAGCAGCAGAAGUAGAAAAAGAAAGAGGGAGAUGAGUGUAAAGCAAGAGCACGUAGGUAAAAAUAAAGAAGAGAGAGAAACUAAUACAGUAUCUGUGAAGAACAGUAAAGCCAAUAGCUUAAUAAAGAUAAGAGAAAGGCAGUGCAAGAAGAGUAAUAAUGUGGAUGAUGGUGAGAUUGGUGACAGCACAGAUGAUGAUGAUGGUGACGAUGAUGAGGCUACAGAUGUGAAAAGGGUCAAACGAGACAUUCUAGCUGAAGAACCCUUAGAGAACGAUGGCAACAGUACGGAAGAGGAGAGUGAAUCUGAAAUAGGUGAAGGAAGUGUUGAGAGUAGUGAUGAUAGAUCAACAGAACCUGUAAUCCAUAGAGUAGGACAGAAUUUGAAACAUAAAGAGCAACCUGGCGAUAAUUCUGACAGUGAUGACGGGAGUGUUGGAGACAAGGAGUCUAUGCAUAGUAACUCUGACAGAGAAAGUGAUGGGGUGACAAUGAAAGUGGAUUUUGUCAAAUCAAACCGUACUCUUGUUAACAAGGUUCCCAGUACAUCGGGAACCGUUAAAGUUAAGCAGCUGGAUCUUGGAAACAUUAGUGAAAUAAUUGAAGAUGAUGACCAUGCCAUUUCCAAUUCUGAAGAUGAGGACUUCUUCCUUGGUAAAACAGCCAAAAAAAUUAAGAAGAGUAAAAAGAGCACUUUCUUCCUUGGAUCAGGCAAUGGCAAUGAUGAAUUGGAUGAGGAUGGUGAAUCAGAAGAUGAAGAGGAGGAAAAUUCUGAUGACAGUGGUAUUAUAGAUACUGGUAAAUACUUUAGAAAGAAUAUGUUCAGAAAUGAUGACAGUAAUAGAGGUGCAAUCAGGGGACGAGGUGAGAGUAGAGAACGCAGAGGGAACAGAGGACGAAGUAGUGACACUGGUCGUGGAAGGGCUUCAAGUCGAGGAUGGGACAGAGUACGUGGCGAAAACCUAGGAAGAAGCACAAGCAGAAGUGACAAAGAUAGGAAAAAGGACACUGGAGAAAAUCGAGGAAAUUAUUCUGUGAUUGAACGACAGAAUGAUCAUUUAGGGGAUAAUGAAAAGGAGGUCCAAAAUGACGGGGACAGAGCUCACAAAUGGAACACAUACACAGAAAACAGAAGAGGAAGAGGUCGAGGAGAUAGACGAGGUGGUCGAGGAAUGAGAGGAGGCAGGAGUCCAUGGAGUGAAAGGGGUAGAAGAGGAACAUUUAGCCACUCUCCAGGUAGCAGGUUCCAAAGCAGAGGAGCAGGGAUCCAAAAUGGCAGACCGCAUUCAUGGGAAAGGGAAUCGAGCAAUCCAAACCUGAUACCUUUGAUGAAGAAAGACAAUAGUUCUGCAUCACCACCAGCCGAUGUUGGGGAAAGGAUCGGUAGCAUGGAUCAAGAAUCAAGCCGCGGUCGUGGUCGAGGCCGUCCGUGGAUUAGCAAUGGUCGCAGAGGAAGAGGUGGCAGAAGGCCUUUUAUGAAUAGAGACUCCAGUAACCCCAAUAUGAUACCCCUGCCAGGCAAGGAGGAAGCUUUUUCAUCACUUCAAAAAGGUGCAGCAUCGUCUAUAGGCCAGCAGGAGAAUUUGCACCCAUCUUGGCAGGCCAAGUUACGUGAGAAGCAGCAGUCAGUGUCCAUCAACGAGUUCCAGGGUAAACGAAUGGUGUUUAAUCUUGAUGAUUAAACAUUUGUGUGAGUUUUGUUCGCAAACUUUCCAGAUAGUGAACUCGGGUAAACAUGUGAAGCCUUUUCCUCGUAUACAGACUUACUAGCUGGUGAAUUAUGGUAACCAUAAAGUACAUUUGAUAGGUGUUCGCUAAAAUAAUACAAACAUUCAUGUGAAGGAAUCUGAUUCUAAUUACAUUAUUAGGCAUACUGCGUUUUGCCGUGCUUUGUAUUUCUGGUACGUAUUCAUGUGAUAACAUGAGAGUACGGUACCAUAUGACCUUGAAACAUGCAACUUCUGUUUGAUUAUCAAACUGAGUUUCCUGGUGACAUUAGGCAAUGUAACCUACAUUAAAGCCAUUGCUAGAAUCAAUUCGUCUAAUACAAAUCAAAAUCAAUAUUUGACAUGUUCACUCAAGAAUGUAUGCAAGGAUAUAUAUACAGGAAUGUAUGACUAAUUAUAUUUUAAUAAAUGUAUAAAUUAAUGUCUAUGUUGUCCGUAGCAUUUGGACAAUUUGGACGGGUGUUAUCUUCCAAUAUCUAUAAUUUUUUGAUUCUCUGUUUCUUCCUUAUCACUCUUGGGGUAAUGCUUCCCUACUCCAGGGAAAACUGGUUAAUGGUGACAAUUUUCAAGAAUGUUUAUUAUUGCCGUUACAUACACACACACAUACAUGUGCAGAAAAUCUUUGCGAUCAUAUAAAUGCAAAAAAAAAGCCACAGAGAAACUUAAGAAUAUUGUAUUUGUCAGGAGUGUUUUUGUGUUCAACACAUCAUAAGAGGCUUAUUAUGUAUGAUUAGAUAAACUAAAAUACAUAUAAGACAGAUGAGAAAGAUAGGUCAAUAUGAGAUAACAAGGACAACAUACAUCAGUACACAACCCGUGCUCCAAAUAGCACAUCACAUUUUGACAUAUACUUUACCUAAUGCCAAAAACUGCUGUACAAAAAAUGGUAGCGGCUUGUAAAAUUGAUGUGAUGCCCCCUUUUUCUGUUCAUGGGUCCUCGUGUUGGCUACGUUUGGGCACUUUAGUGCAACAGUUUAGCAACGUUGGGAAUGCUCAAGCAGACAGACUAGUAUAAGUGGCGGGCUGUCCUGAAGACAUGACGUGACUUGAGCAAUAAGUAACCUGACUAGAUUACAAUGUAGAUUGAUGGCCUCAUAAUUUAUUUGGGUGAAUUUAAAUUCCUGAUGAGACAGGUGAAUAAAAGUUUUGCAAAUUAUAUUGUGGAUUUACAAUUCACAUGUGGAUGAGAGGGUGGAUUAUCAUCAGAUUCCAUCGUGGUGCUCCAGAAAGGGUUGAAAUUUCUAUUUGAGAGAAAGUGAUUUUCUGUAACCUUAUUGUGAGCAUCCUGGCCUGGUUGGUAGAGCAAUAGCUUUAUGUUUUACCAGCUCGAAUUCAAUGCCCCAAUGAAAGGCUAGUAACUUUGUAUACUAGUACACAUUGUCCAUAUUAUAUACAGGUGUAGGCUGGUAUUGUGUACCUGGGUAAUACAGUGCAUGUGAAAUGGUAGAUUUUUACAUAAUAUUUCUAAAUUUUGCUUGUAUCAUGAGAUGGGCAGGAUUUCUAUUUCAAAAAUUAUAUUACAUAAUUCUUUAUUAUGAGGUAUGCUGGCAGGGGGUUUUGGUAUCACUUGUGCUUUUCAGUACAAAUAUUAUCUUCUGUAUCUACUCACUUGAGGUGAGGAAGUGACCACCAUUAAAAUAAGGAUGAUGUGGGCAUCACCGGGCCUUUCAUGUUCGUAAAUAACUUGAUAUACCUGCCUUUUAUAAUUUAAAAAUGAUAGAGUUGUGCAUAUGAAUUAUAGUUACAUUUUCUAGAACUAAAGAUUUCUAUAUUUAAUAAAGUGUUAAUUAAAAAUA